UGCCAGCCGCCGCGGUAAGACGGAGGGUGCAAACGUUGUUCGGAAUCACUGGGCAUAAAGCGCACGUAGGCGGCCAAGACAGUUCGGUGUGAAAGCCCUCGGCUCAACCGGGGAACUGCAUCGGAUACUUCUUGGCUAGAGGACGGUUGGGGUGAGUGGAACUCCUGGUGGAGCGGUGAAAUGCGUAGAUAUCAGGAGGAACACCAGUGGCGAAAGCGGCUCACUGGGUCUUUACUGACGCUGAGGCACGAAAGCUAGGGGAGCUAACGGGAUUAGAUA
rnacentral:rRNA from 1 species